rnacentral:rRNA from 1 species
AAUAUUGGACAAUGGGCGCAAGCCUGAUCCAGCAAUGCCGCGUGUGUGAAGAAGGCCUGCGGGUUGUAAAGCACUUUCAGUGGGGAGGAAGGCCUCAGCGCUAAUAACGCUGAGGAUUGACGUUACCCACAGAAGAAGCACCGGCUAACUCUGUGCCAGCAGCCGCGGUAAUACAGAGGGUGCAAGCGUUAAUCGGAAUUACUGGGCGUAAAGGGUGCGUAGGUGGUUUUUUAAGUCAGAUGUGAAAUCCCUGGGCUUAACCUAGGAAUUGCAUUUGAUACUGAAUAACUGGAGUACGGGAGAGGGAAGUGGAAUUUCCGGUGUAGCGGUGAAAUGCGUAGAUAUCGGAAGGAACACCAGUGGCGAAGGCGACUUCCUGGCCCGUUACUGACACUGAGGCACGAAAGCGUGGGGAGCGAAC